UACGAAGGGGGGCUAGCGUUGUUCGGAUUUACUGGGCGUAAAGCGCACGUAGGCGGAUCGAUCAGUCAGGGGUGAAAUCCCAGAGCUCAACUCUGGAACUGCCUUUGAUACUGUCGAUCUGGAGUAUGGAAGAGGUGAGUUGGAAUUCCGAGUGUAGAGGUGAAAUUCGUAGAUAUUCGGAGGAACACCAGUGGCGAAGGCGGCUCACUGGUCCAUUACUGACGCUGAGGUGCGAAAGCGUGGGGAGCAACAGG
rnacentral:rRNA from 1 species